rnacentral:rRNA from 1 species
GAUGAGCGCUGGCGGCGUGCCUAAUACAUGCAAGUCGAGCGAACGGACGAGAAGCUUGCUUCUCUGAUGUUAGCGGCGGACGGGUGAGUAACACGUGGAUAACCUACCUAUAAGACUGGGAUAACUUCGGGAAACCGGAGCUAAUACCGGAUGAUAUUUUGAACCGCAUGGUUCAAAAGUGAAAGACGGUCUUGCUGUCACUUAUAGAUGGGUCCGCGCUGCAUUAGCUAGUUGGUAAGGUAACGGCUUACCAAGGCAACGAUGCAUAGCCGACCUGAGAGGGUGAUCGGCCACACUGGAACUGAGACACGGUCCAGACUCCUACGGGAGGCAGCAGUAGGGAAUCUUCCGCAAUGGGCGAAAGCCUGACGGAGCAACGCCGCGUGAGUGAUGAAGGUCUUCGGAUCGUAAAACUCUGUUAUUAGGGAAGAACAUAUGUGUAAGUAACUGUGCACAUCUUGACGGUACCUAAUCAGAAAGCCACGGCUAACUACGUG